UUUUAGCCACGAUCGCAACGGCAUCCUUUUUUGAGGAGGCACGACGAAAAAAAGAUAUAGUGGAGAGCGUGACUGGUU
rnacentral:sRNA from 1 species